CACGUAGGGUGCAAGCGUUGUCCGGAUUUAUUGGGCGUAAAGGGCUCGUAGGCGGUUCGACAAGUCGGGUGUGAAACCUCCAGCUCAACCUGGAGUCGCCACUCGAAACUGUUGUGACUAGAGUCCGGUAGGGGAGCAUGGAAUUCCUGGUGUAGCGGUGGAAUGCGCAGAUAUCAGGAGGAACACCAGUGGCGAAGGCGAUGCUCUGGGCCGGUACUGACGCUGAGGCGCGAAAGCGUGGGGAGCAAACAGG
rnacentral:rRNA from 1 species